GGACCAGCCUGGAUUGCAGGUUCAGCCAGGAGAACUCUCAUGGUGUCCUGGCUGCCGUGCCGAACAUGGACAGGCUGAUCCAAUUUCUUUGAGAGGUGACAUCUUCCAUCAAAGUGCAGGGUCUUGCUGAGUUGCUGUGGCUGGCCUUGAACUUGCAAUCCUCCUGCCUCAGCCUCCUGAGUUGCUGGGAUUCCAGGCCUGUGACGGCCCCCUCCCAUUCCUUAGCACAAAGCUGAGGGUGAACCUGGCUCCCAAAGCCACCCCCAUUCCUAGGUCUCCCAGUCGUCCACUGGGGAGAGGCUCUGGCUUCCUGCCAGCUGUGUUCUUGUCACCAGUGGGGAUUUCAGUGAAACAGAAAGCAGCCAGUGUCUUCCACCCCAUGUCCUUGUGGUGUCCCAGAGCAGCAGGAGCAGAGAAAGCUGCGGUGAGGCGAGCUGCUUUCUCUGCCAAGUGUUCCUGCCAUGAUGUACAGCGCCGCCACAGGCCCAAAGCAACAGGGCCAAGCAACCACCAUGCAAACUCUGAAACCAUG